rnacentral:tRNA from 1 species
CAGAAAAUAGUUUAUUUAGGAUCCUGGCUUUGGGGGCCAGGGGUAGGAGUUAAAGUCUCCUUUUUCUGA